rnacentral:rRNA from 1 species
AGAGUUUGAUCAUGGCUCAGGACGAACGCUGGCGGCGUGCUUAACACAUGCAAGUCGAGCGGGGAUUAUGNGUGGAAAUCCUUCGGGAAGGAAGCUGUAAUUCUAGCGGCGGACGGGUGAGUAACGCGUGAACAAUCUGUCCCAGACAGGGGGAUAACAGAUGGAAACAUCUGCUAAUACCGCAUAAGACCACGGGGUCGCAUGGCCCUGAGGUAAAAGGAGCAAUCCGGUCUGGGGUGAGUUCGCGUCCGAUUAGCUAGUUGGCGAGGUAACGGCCCACCAAGGCGACGAUCGGUAGCCGACCUGAGAGGGUGAUCGGCCACAUUGGAACUGAGAGACGGUCCAAACUCCUACGGGAGGCAGCAGUGGGGAAUAUUGGGCAAUGGGCGAAAGCCUGACCCAGCAACGCCGCGUGAGUGAAGAAGGCUUUCGGGUUGUAAAGCUCUGUCCUAGGGGACGAAGGAAGUGACGGUACCCAAGGAGGAAGCCCCGGCUAACUACGUGCCAGCAGCCGCGGUAAUACGUAGGGGGCGAGCGUUGUCCGGAAUGACUGGGCGUAAAGGGCGUGUAGGCGGCCGAUUAAGUGUGGAGUGAAAGUCCUGCUUUUAAGGUGGGAAUUGCUUUGCAGACUGGUUGGCUUGAGUGCGGAAGAGGUAAGUGGAAUUCCCAGUGUAGCGGUGAAAUGCGUAGAGAUUGGGAGGAACACCAGUGGCGAAGGCGACUUACUGGGCCGUAACUGACGCUGAGGCGCGAAAGCGUGGGGAGCGAACAGGAUUAGAUACCCUGGUAGU